UUUAAUUUAUGAAAUACUUUGGUCGGCAGGUCAAAUUUAUUAAUUUUGCCAAUAGAAAAAACAUACUAGAUGUAUUCCUGCAUCGCUGCUCCACAUCCAGUAAUCAAACAAAUAAAUGCAACAAUAACCAGGAUCGGACGAAGGGGCCAAAAUAUCAUGGUGAUGAUAAUUACAUGGACGAUGACAGGUGCUUUUGGCCGCACUAGAUGCAUCAUGCCCACUGUUCCAGGGACAGUGGGAGGAAUCAGGCUACAGUAAGCAGACCCGUAAACAAAUGGCAAGUUGGUCGCUCAUUCAUCACUCACCACCAGCAGCUAGCACCACCCUGCGUCUGCGCAGAAGCACACACAAAAAAAAACGUCGCCGUAGUUUAUUUCCCCUCUUCCCGCGUCGUG
rnacentral:lncRNA from 1 species